CGGCGGACGGGUGAGUAACGCCUAGGAAUCUGCCUGGUAGUGGGGGACAACGUUUCGAAAGGAACGCUAAUACCGCAUACGUCCUACGGGAGAAAGCAGGGACCUUCGGGCCUUGCGCUAUCAGAUGAGCCUAGGUCGGAUUAGCUAGUUGGUGAGGUAAUGGCUCACCAAGGCGACGAUCCGUAACUGGUCUGAGAGGAUGAUCAGUCACACUGGAACUGAGACACGGUCCAGACUCCUACGGGAGGCAGCAGAG
rnacentral:rRNA from 1 species